GUCAAGAGCAUGAUUGACUACUUCCUCACAGAGAUUAAGAAGGAUUCAGAGUAUGUGGUGGCGGUGAGGAACUGCAUCAAUGAGAACAGGACGCUUCUCAGUUUCCAUAAAGGAGACAUUAUCAGACUACAACACAUGGAUGGCUUGGAGGCGGGCAAAAGUUACGGCUGCAUUGUGAAAAAAAAGGUGAUGCUACUGGAAGAACUCAAGAGCGACACCCCUGACUUUGG